rnacentral:rRNA from 1 species
UACGUAGGGGGCAAGCGUUGUCCGGAUUUACUGGGCGUAAAGAGCGUGUAGGCGGCCAAGCAGGUCCGUUGUGAAAACUGGAGGCUUAACCUCCAGACGUCGACGGAAACCGCGCGGCUAGAGUGCGGGAGAGGAAAGUGGAAUUCCUGGUGUAGCGGUGAAAUGCGUAGAUAUCGGGAGGAACACCGGUGGCGAAGGCGGUCCUCUGGGCCUGACCUGACGCUGAGGAGCGAAAGCAUGGGUAGCGAACAGG